rnacentral:rRNA from 1 species
CAGUCGCCGCGGUAAUACGUAGGGUGCGAGCGUUAAUCGGAAUUACUGGGCGUAAAGCGUGCGCAGGCGGUUAUAUAAGACAGUUGUGAAAUCCCCGGGCUCAACCUGGGAACUGCAUCUGUGACUGUAUAGCUAGAGUACGGUAGAGGGGGAUGGAAUUCCGCGUGUAGCAGUGAAAUGCGUAGAUAUGCGGAGGAACACCGAUGGCGAAGGCAAUCCCCUGGACCAGUACUGACGCUCAUGCACGAAAGCGUGGGGAGCAAACAGGAUUAGAUACCCCUGUAGUCCCUGUCUCUUAUAC